UGCUGAGGGUCGCAGCGCGGCGGACGCGGACGCCGAGGAGAGGUCCGCGGGUGACGGACCGCGGAGGACCAGAACCACCUGCUGGAGGAGCUGCGCUACGGGGGCCGCGCAGGGUCCAAACGGCUCGCGUAGGCGGCGGCUCCGCGGUCCUCGGGGUCGCGGAGCCGGGAAGGUGGGAGGCCUUCCGGGAGGAGGCUUAGGCCGCCGCGGGCGCCGCGCGGCGGGAUCGCUGGGCUGUGGGGAGGCCCCGGGGGCGGAGGCGGACCUCCAGUCGGCGAGAGAGGGCGGUGCCGCACGAGAUGCAAACAGCCGGACCGCCUCGGAUUCCCCCGGGGAGCACGAGACCGCCCGUGUCCUGCAGCCCGGAGCACCUAGGGGGCCGCUUGAGUUUUGCAAAGUUAAGCGGCUUACCCGCAAGCCCGUCCGCUUAGAGCCCAGCCGUGCGGGUUGCCCGUCGCUGUCCCGCGCAAGUCACCGCCGCGGGAUUUAGAAGUUUGAAGGAAGAAAUGAAGGCUUCUGCUUUGUAACUACUGCAGAUGUUAGAGAUGGAAAACCAGGGAGACGGUGGUAAUAACAAAUGAGCUAUCGAGGGUGAGGUUGAACGUCCAUGAGCUCCCAACACUUGGGAAGCUGAUCAGAAAGUGAGUCCAACGUCAAUGGUUACACACAAAGAUUGAUCCGGGGGUCGGGGCCAAGAGGAGGGGGCGAGACUUGAGAUAAAGGAAGGCAGGAAGAAUUUUAAAUGAUGGAGAAACGGAGAUGCGUUCUACAGGAUCUGAACAUCUGAUUGGGAAGAGAGAAAUAAGGUCCAGAUGCUUGCUUGUAAGAGGGAGAGUGAACACUAGAGAGAGAAAGACAGCUACUUUUGAGAAAAGACUGUCAGUUUAGAUAGGAAGGGGUUGAGGGCAGCCAAAGAGAUGUGGGCAUAAGAAGUUAAAGCAGUACUAAAACAGCCGAAAGGAACUGCACGUGGACAGUACCCCGGGGCUGGGCAUAGUUCAGUCGGUAGCUUGAGUUCUAGCCCCAGAAUAAAUGUAAAAACUCCCAGCAUGGUAGCAAGCUCUGGCCCCAAAGAUUAGCAGGCAGAACAGGUGGAUCCCUCUGUCUUCUUAGCUACCCUCCCACUCUCCACAAAAAGAUAGCACGAGAGGAAUGAUAACCACACCCUCCAGCAUGUACAUGAACAACACACACACACACCACAAAAAAAAAAAAAAAAAAAAAAAAA